rnacentral:rRNA from 1 species
GACAGAGGCCUCGAGCGUUAGGCGGAAUCACUGGGCUUAAAGCGUGUGUAGGCGGGCCCGUAAGUGUCUUGUGAAAUCCCACGGCUCAACCGUGGAACUGCUGGGCAUACUGCGGGUCUUGGGCCAACUAGGGGCAGCCGGAACAAGCGGUGGAGCGGUGAAAUGCGUAGAUAUGCGGAGGAACACCGAUGGCGAAGGCAAUCCCCUGGACCUGUACUGACGCUCAUGCACGAAAGCGUGGGGAGCAAACAGG